AAACGAUGUCGACUUGGAGGUUGUGCCCUUGAGGCGUGGCUUCCGGAGCUAACGCGUUAAGUCGACCGCCUGGGGAGUACGGCCGCAAGGUUAAAACUCAAAUGAAUUGACGGGGGCCCGCACAAGCGGUGGAGCAUGUGGUUUAAUUCGAUGCAACGCGAAGAACCUUACCUGGUCUCGACAUCCACGGAAGUUUUCAGAGAUGAGAAUGUGCCUUCGGGAACCGUGAGACAGGUGCUGCAUGGCUGUCGUCAGCUCGUGUUGUGAAAUGUUGGGUUAAGUCCCGCAACGAGCGCAACCCUUAUCCUUUGUUGCCAGCGGUCCGGCCGGGAACUCAAAGGAGACUGCCAGUGAUAAACUGGAGGAAGGUGGGGAUGACGUCAAGUCAUCAUGGCCCUUACGACCAGGGCUACACACGUGCUACAAUGGCGCAUACAAAGAGAAGCGACCUCGCGAGAGCAAGCGGACCUCAUAAAGUGCGUCGUAGUCCGGAUUGGAGUCUGCAACUCGACUCCAUGAAGUCGGAAUCGCUAGUAAUCGUGGAUCAGAAUGCCACGGUG
rnacentral:rRNA from 1 species